rnacentral:rRNA from 1 species
GACGAACGCUGGCGGCGUGCUUAACACAUGCAAGUCGAACGGUAAGGCCCUUCGGGGUACACGAGUGGCGAACGGGUGAGUAACACGUGAGUAACCUGCCCUUGACUCUGGGAUAACUGCUAGAAAUGGUAGCUAAUACCGGAUACGACCCUCGGCGGCAUCGCCAGGGGGUGGAAAGAAUUUCGGUCAAGGAUGGACUCGCGGCCUAUCAGCUAGUGGGUGAGGUAACGGCUCACCAAGGCGACGACGGGUAGCCGGCCGGAGAGGGUGACCGGCCACACUGGGACUGAGACACGGCGCAGACUCCUACGGGAGGCAGCAGUGGGGAAUAGUGCACAAUGGGCGCAAGCCUGAUGCAGCAACGCCGCGUGAGGGAUGACGGCCUUCGGGUUGUAAACCUCUUUUAGUAGGGAAGAAGCGAAAGUGACGGUACCUGCAGAAAAAGCACCGGCUAACUACGUGCCAGCAGCCGCGGUAA